UCAGACUUUGAUCAUGGCUCAGGAUGAACGCUAGCUACAGACUUAACACAUGCAAGUCGAGGGGAAACGACAUUGAAAGCUUGCUUUCGAUGGGCGUCGACCGGCGCACGGGUGAGUAACGCGUAUCCAACCUGCCCAUCACUUGGGGAUAACCUUGCGAAAGUAAGACUAAUACCCAAUGACGUCUCUAGAAGACAUCUGAAAGAGAUUAAAGAUUUAUCGGUGAUGGAUGGGGAUGCGUCUGAUUAGCUUGUUGGCGGGGUAACGGCCCACCAAGGCGACGAUCAGUAGGGGUUCUGAGAGGAAGGUCCCCCACAUUGGAACUGAGACACGGUCCAAACUCCUACGGGAGGCAGCAGUGAGGAAUAUUGGUCAAUGGACGAGAGUCUGAACCAGCCAAGUAGCGUGCAGGAUGACGGCCCUAUGGGUUGUAAACUGCUUUUAUAAGGGAAUAAAGUGAGUCUCGUGAGACUUUUUGCAUGUACCUUAUGAAUAAGGACCGGCUAAUUCCGUGCCAGCAGCCGCGGUAAUACGGAAGGUCCGGGCGUUAUCCGGAUUUAUUGGGUUUAAAGGGAGCGUAGGCCGGAGAUUAAGCGUGUUGUGAAAUGUAGAUGCUCAACAUCUGCACUGCAGCGCGAACUGGUUUCCUUGAGUACGCACAAAGUGGGCGGAAUUCGUGGUGUAGCGGUGAAAUGCUUAGAUAUCACGAAGAACUCCGAUUGCGAAGGCAGCUCACUGGAGCGCAACUGACGCUGAAGCUCGAAAGUGCGGGUAUCGAACAGGAUUAGAUACCCUGGUAGUCCGCACGGUAAACGAUGGAUGCCCGCUGUUGGUCUGAAUAGGUCAGCGGCCAAGCGAAAGCAUUAAGCAUCCCACCUGGGGAGUACGCCGGCAACGGUGCAACUCAAAGGAAUUGACGGA
rnacentral:rRNA from 2 species